AGCGUAGACGGUUUUGCAAGUCUGAAGUGAAAGCCCGGGGCUUAACCCCGGGACUGCUUUGGAAACUGUAGGACUAGAGUGCAGGAGAGGUAAGUGGAAUUCCUAGUGUAGCGGUGAAAUGCGUAGAUAUUAGGAGGAACACCAGUGGCGAAGGCGGCUUACUGGACUGUAACUGACACUGAGGCACGAAAGCGUGGGGAGCAAACA
rnacentral:rRNA from 1 species